rnacentral:rRNA from 1 species
ACGAACGCUGGCGGCGUGCUUAACACAUGCAAGUCGAACGGAGGACUAAGAGGAAGCUUGCGAAUCCUAGUCCUUAGUGGCGGACGGGUGAGUAACACGUGGAUAACCUGCCUGUAAGACCGGGACAACACCUGGAAACGGGUGCUAAUACCGGGUAAGCUCUUAAUGCCGCAUGGUGUAAAGAGGAGAGGGGAAACCCGCUUACAGAUGGAUCCGCGGCCCAUUAGCUAGUUGGCGGUGUAACGGACCACCAAGGCGACGAUGGGUAGCCGGCCUGAGAGGGUGAUCGGCCACACUGGAACUGAGACACGGUCCAGACUCCUACGGGAGGCAGCAGUGGGGAAUCUUCCGCAAUGGGCGAAAGCCUGACGGAGCAACGCCGCGUGAAUGAUGAAGGCCUUCGGGUUGUAAAAUUCUGUCUUCAGGGAAGAAAAAAAUGACGGUACCUGAGGAGGAAGCCCCGGCUAACUACGU